GACGAACGCUGGCGGCGCGCCUAACACAUGCAAGUCGAACGAGCGAGAGAGAGCUUGCUUUCUUGAGCGAGUGGCGAACGGGUGAGUAACGCGUGAGGAACCUGCCUCAAAGAGGGGGACAACAGUUGGAAACGACUGCUAAUACCGCAUAAGCCCACGGUGCCGCAUGGCACAGAGGGAAAAGGAGCAAUCCGCUUUGAGAUGGCCUCGCGUCCGAUUAGCUAGUUGGUGAGGUAACGGCCCACCAAGGCGACGAUCGGUAGCCGGACUGAGAGGUUGAACGGCCACAUUGGGACUGAGACACGGCCCAGACUCCUACGGGAGGCAGCAGUGGGGAAUAUUGCACAAUGGGGGAAACCCUGAUGCAGCGACGCCGCGUGGAGGAAGAAGGUCUUCGGAUUAAACUCCUGUUGUUGGGGAAGAUAAUGACGGUACCCAACAAGGAAGUGACGGCUAACUACGUG
rnacentral:rRNA from 1 species